GAGAAAUCGUGCGGGCGUGCGGGGGAAUCGGUGCGUUCGUUUUUCUUUCAGUUAGGACAUCCGCAAGCCACGGGACUGAGCAGUCAUGGCUCGUGGUCAGCAGAAGAUCCAGUCACAACAGAAGGCUCAGGCUAAAGGUGCAGCUCUGAAGAAACAGGCUGGUCACAAUCUGAAAGAUCAGAAGAAAGCUGCAGCUGCUGGCUUGUCAUUUAACUGUGACAUUUGUAAGUCUCAAAUGCCAGACCCAAAGACCUACAAACAGCACUUCGAGAGCAAGCAUCCGAAGAGCCCUCUUCCAGAGGCACUCAAGGAUAUAUAGUGUGACAGCCUCACCAGCUGAGCUGUGACACCAGACAGCGCUGGUGUGACUGCUGGUGGUACUAACGAACAUGGAGCGGUUUUCCCGCGCCGCUUGUUGCGUUCCGGGUAUGUGAUGGUUAGUGACAUCUCAGACGCCAGUCACUUGCUAUCACUUGUCAUUGAUGUUAUAACUCACACGCGGCUGGUUUAGUGUGUUUCCAUUGGGCGUUCGUGAUAAGCCUUUAGGCACUCACUGGCGGAAAUGUGUGAAGUUUGGGUCCAAAAGAUGUCCGCGGGACACGUGGUGUUUCCAGGAACACUGGUACGCUUGGUCGCCGCGUGCUGUCCAAGGAUGCAGCGCUGGGUUGACAGUGUUUAUACUAAUAUGAUUUGUGCGCUCGGUAGGUAAACGGAGAGGUUCGUGUUGAUCUGGUGCACGGUGCGGCAAUGCCUGGGCGUCGAUAGCUUGGAUUUCACUUUUCCUCGCUAACAGCCUGCUGACGUGUGGUUGACGUUGCCCUGUGUUCAGUGUCUACCCGUGUGUGCCACGGUUUGCGGCCACUCGUGUGCGGUUGUUCUUUACACUUGUAGGCCCAGAUUUUAAGGAUUUGGGAAAUAAACAUGGUGACCGGUU